CAACCAAGAGAGCCAAGGGGGAGGAGCCAAGGAUUCCAGAAUAUUUCCCAGACUUGAAACUUUACUGUUAAAAAAAAGAAGUCAGAUACAUUCUUCUAUGCUAUUGUCUGCAGUCAUCCAUUAUUAUGGUAGCAUCCCAAGUGCAGAUAUCAGGGAAGCCUCUGAUUAUGCAGAAGUAUAUCUUAUGUAUGUUCGAGUUAAUGAGGUAAUGAGUUGUAAUGUGUCCACAUGUGCACUACCAAAGAAAAUAUCGUGGUUAACAAUGUUUCUCCUCUGGAAAGUUUGGCCAAAAGAAGUCUAACUCCGCUGUCUUGGACUGGACUACAAAAAUAUUUCAUCUCAGGAUGGAAAAAUCAGUUUUUCCAGUUUUUGUUGUUUAGUGGUAUGAAAAACCUCCAAUUCACACAGUUACUUUACAUUAAGUAUUACUUACUUAGAUGACUUCAGACGACGGACUGAGACAGGAUCGUCUCAGGAACUGUCCACAUAUAAUCCCCAAACCCAAAUGUAGAAUUUCCCUUCAGUGUUUCACUGCUACAACAAAAAAGCAUUUCAUUUUUGCAAUUUAACCUUUUUUCAUUUAAGCGCUACGUGUAAAUGACUCGAGCAGACUGAGUGACUUCAAACCGUGUCUGAUGGUUCAGACAGGAAAUCAAUCCAUGUUGAGCAGGAGCUGUUUCAUUCGAUCAAUGAUUCAGCUGACAAAUACUGCACGUCUCCUCCGCUCGCACUCAUCAGCACAGAAUCCUCUUUUCUCCACAGUUCUGCAUGAAAAGUUUGCUUCUUAACUUCUCGUGUUAUUAGAUUUGACUAGCUCAUUUUUCAUCUUGACAGCUUCAUUAAAGCACCCUGAAAAGACUGAAAAUAUUUGUGUGUGUGUGUGUGUGUGUGUGUGUGAUCACAAAGUUUCCCUCAUAUCUGUGCGUCCCCAGCUCUAUUUCAAAAGCAGUUUUUACCUUCUUCCCAUCUCCCCCUCUUUUAACAUCUCCCUCCUUCACGCCUAUUGUCCCUCAUUUCUCCAUCAUCCAUCUGGUCCUUCGUCAUUACCCUUCAGUUUUAGUCCUUUUUCAAUAUUUUAUUCCCCCUUUUCUCCAACCUUACUGCUUAUUUUUUCCUCCUCCUCCAUCACUCUUUGUUUUUUCAUCCAAAAGAUGAAAAAAAGGAAAACUGUUUGUCUGCUGGAUGUCAGUUUGUCUCCAGCCUCUCCAAAUCUCUCCCUGCUCUCCUAUUGGCUGGCUGGACUAUCUGCUGUAUUGGUAUUGGCUGGUUCCAGCAGGUGAGGCAUAGUUGUGCCACUUAAUCAAUGCCCUGCAGUGGGGGAAGCAUGUGCCAGACACAGUGCAACAGCAGCAGCAGCAGCCAUCAGCGUUGGCAGCUCUCCACAAUGCUGAGCGUGGGGAUGGUGUGACCUUCAGACGGCCGGGACCAGUGGGAGAGACACACGUGCACGAGCGAACGUUCAGACUCUCACAAAGGAGCUGUGAGUGUGGCGAGCAGGCAUUACUUUGUGAAGGUCAAGAAGAAGCUCGGAUAACACACGCACACACAAAAUGAGGCCGCAAAGCCUGCAGAUGCAUGAAAGAGCUCUGAAAAACAUGCAUUUUAGCAACAAGAAAGACACUUGAGAACAAAACCAAGGACACCUGACCGCCGCCAUGAAGUGUUUUUACAUUUACAACCCAGCUCAUCUGAUCGAGACCAGGAGGGAAAAAACGUCCGGUUCGCUUCUAAUUCACGCUGGCACGUUAAAUCACUGAUGCACAAAGAGACGAUGUUGUCAGUACUCGUAGGCCAUAACUACAGGCUGCAAAUUUCUCACACAUUGCUAUGAAUUAUGGCAAGCAGGUAGAGAUGGAAUGAAAAUAUGGAGCCUCAUACAAAAAUGUUCUGGGGCAUAUCAAUGUCACAGAGACGAUACAAACAACAGGCCACAGUCAAAUGGAUCAAAAUAAACUCUCUGCCGUCGCAGCGAAUCACAGACUGCGGCUGCUCCAUUAUGUCUGAAAUCCUGCAAUAGGGAUUUUUCAUCAACCUCAUCGUGCAUUUGUGGGUGUUACGUGUCCUUACCGGAGAUUUCCUGUACUUUUUUUUUUUUUGCCAGAAAUCAGUCUCAGGAACAACCGCUGGACUCUGGAGGACCCACAGCCUGAAAGUGGGAAGUCCAGGCCUCGGGACACCAUCAUGACAGCUACAGGAAGACUAAUGAAUAGAAAGAUGCAGUCUUUGUCUUUCCCAAAGAUCCUUCAGUAGGCUCACUUCCACAUGGAUGUUGUUGACAGCCACUCCAUGAUCCUGGCUCUAGCUGGACUAAACUAACUGAGCUUGGGUCACUAAUGUAAAGAUAGAAGCCUUGCUCAAUUUAAAACAGGGCAAAACAAGAGUUUGGUGUGAAAAUGAAAGUAAGUCAGUUUUGUUCCAGGUAUCUUAAUUUCUUUUUCAAACAUUAGAAAUCAGAAUUAGCACAUAGAUAGCUGGAAGUUACAGGUUAGCUGCUGCACUCUCCUUCACGUGCGUGAAAUGCGUUUGGAAAUUAAAAAUGGUCACUGACGGUAGGAAGAUUAUAUUUUGAGGACAAGUCAGCCAGACUUGUGGAAGUUGAACUUUCAUCACAGAAACUCUGAAAUCAGUUUAUCAUGUCUGAUAUUACACUAUAGCGAGCUAAACUAAAAAGAGUUUCUUAAAGCUCUCAUAUGACAGAAGGAUCCAGUUACUGCUGCUAACAACACCUGAGAAAACUGUAGAUGUCAAAGCCUUCAGCGCAUGAUGGCUGGACGCCAGCAUUUCUACCUGUAUCGGGGCAUGUUAUAUCACAUUUUCCUCAUUGUUACUCACUCGUCAAAUUCCCCUUAAAUAGCAGCAAACAGGCCUCCUGCCUGUCCGGAUAAAUCGAGGUAUAGCUCUGGUUUCAUGUAAAAAUAUUUCAUUCUUUUUCCAACUUUACAAAUAUUCUACAUCCUCAGUGUGAAGUUUAUUACUCAGUCAGCUGAGCUUUUUUUUUUUUUUGCUGGAUGGUCUAUCGUAACGAAAGCCUCGACGCUUUUAUUCACACGUGGUUAAUACACAGUGUUUAGUAAAUGAGUUCUUUAAUAAACUCCCAAUAUGUAUCCUCACAAAUGUAGUUUUACACAACCACUCGGGACUAUUUAUAGCAGAGGAUGAACACAGACCUGACACCCCUGCUCUGGGAUUGUCUCAGUAUAAACUGUAGUCCCCACUACGUGGAUUGCAGAUUUAAAUAGAAAUGACCAAUAAUCCACUCAGUUCGAAGCAAUCCAGCCCCACUCUGACCUUGAUCUCUGGAGCUGUGAUGUGUGAUGUAGUAUAUGUGAUUAUAGAGUGGAUUAAAGUGAACCAGCUACAUGUGGAGCAAUAUUACUGCAAAGGACUAAAGUGCAGGUUUUUGUGAUAGAGAGUGUGACUCGGUAACUGCUAGAGCUCUAUACAGCUGCCACUUGCUCUUCUCCUUAUGCAACUCUUGGUAGGACUUAAUCUUUUUAUGAUCCAUAGAGCUGCUUUAUUUUUAAUCCUUUCAUAUUUACAGUUUAAGUUGCACUGCUGAAUGUUAGAAAGAGCACGUCAUCUAGACUGUGGGCUUUGGAAUACUGGUGACAACCCAGGCAGUAUGUUUCCACGGUAAGGAUGUGCAGGAAUAGUUAAGCUUGAGAGAAAACAAUUCCUCUCAUCCACUGAUGAGACAUCAUGUUACCAACAAACCAAAGGUUGUAAACCUCACGUGCUUAAUGAGAUAUGAUGUGUCUGUGGACAGUAUUAGAGCCAUGAUUCAAUUCUGUUUAGUUUUACUUACACAGCACCAAAUCACAACAACAAUCACCUGAAGGUGCUGUGUGCUGUAAGCUAGACCCUACAGUAACUGACAACUAGUUUUAGUUCUACAGCAGUUUGCACUGGAAACAGAUUUUAUACAGAAUACAGCAAAUACAAUGAAGAGCAGCUUGACCCGUGCAAUGUGAAACCACAGUCAGUAGAGCCUGUGCUGCUACUGCUAGCACUGCUAGUGUUAGCAACACCCUGCUAAGACGUCUGGCGAUGUGAUGACCAGCAAAUCAGGUUAAAUAUCAUCUGUAAAAUAUACUGUAGCUUUUGUGUUUGAGAGGAAUUUGAAUUUCAUCAGUAAUUAAAAUAUAAUUAAUAUGA